CCUACGGGGUGCAGCAGUGAGGAAUAUUGGUCAAUGGACGAGAGUCUGAACCAGCCAAGUAGCGUGAAGGAUGACUGCCCUAUGGGUUGUAAACUUCUUUUAUAUGGGAAUAAAAUGUUCCACGUGUGGGAUUUUGUAUGUACCAUAUGAAUAAGGAUCGGCUAACUCCGUGCCAGCAGCCGCGGUAAUACGGAGGAUCCGAGCGUUAUCCGAAUUUAUUGGGUUUAAAGGGAGCGUAGGUGGAUUGUUAAGUCAGUUGUGAAAGUUUGCGGCUCAACCGUAAAAUUGCAGUUGAAACUGGCAGUCUUGAGUACAGUAGAGGUGGGCGGAAUUCGUGGUGUAGCGGUGAAAUGCUUAGAUAUCACGAAGAACUCCGAUUGCGAAGGCAGUUCACUGGACUGCAACUGACACUGAGGCUCGAAAGUGUGGGUAUCAAACAGGAUUAGAUACCCCAGUAGUC
rnacentral:rRNA from 1 species